rnacentral:lncRNA from 1 species
UUUAUUUUGAGUUUCUUAUCUCCAGUUAUAAAUAAUUUAGUGACUAUUGCUCAGGAAAACAGCUUGUAGUGAAUUUGUGAUUUUGUUGCAAACAUGGUUAAAACUAGUUAAUGAGAUACUUUUCGAGUUCUUAUGAUCUUAUUUGUGAUUUCAAUAUUUGGUUUUAAUUGAGUUCAGAUUCAAGUGAGGUGAAUUUGCUAAAUAUGCAUUAUGUUCAUGGAUACUUGGC